CUCCAAUAUUACACCCCUCACUACCGCUAUGUACACAGAUAGUCUGCUCCACACUCAGAAAGGUAGGGACAACACCCUAGGAUUUCCAUAAAGCUUAGAAGGAUUUCCUUCCUAAGAAAUACCCAGUUUUGCUGCCAAACACUCCUCCCCUCCUACAUGAAGGCCUGAGUCAAGAGAUAUCGUGGGUGGGAGAAGUUACCCUGCAUGUCACCAGAACCUCAGCAUGCACACUUUAAAAUGAAUUUCCAAAUGCAAAUUUGUUCCUAGAUCCACAGCAUGGCAAGUGAGAUGCAGAAGCCUGGUUCCUGGAGGAGGAGCCAGCAUUGAUUCGUGGAGGGCAGUGUCCUCUCACAGGGCUCCUCAGAAGAGCCAAACCAAUGAUUAAGCUCACGUGUUGUGAACUGCAAAGUCAUUUGAACAAUUUCAAAGCCAUCAGUGACAAAGGCUUUCUCCUGAUGGAUCUUUCUGCCCAUUGAACUAGAACACUCAUGGAAACAUGUUCAGGCUCCCUCACUCCAUGUAGGUCAGACUACAGGUAAAAUAUCCUUUCUGGUGCCAAAAACUCUUAUCAGGAUGAAGAAUUUUCCUCUAGUUUCCCUGGGGAAGAGCAAAAAAAAAAAGUAGAUAAAAAAAAAAACACAAGAAAUAGAGUAGCAGGAGUGAAGGAGAAAAAUUGAAAAGAAAGAGAUAAAUAGGGGGGGAAUUUUAAGGACCAUUAGUAAUUUACUGUGGUCCCCAAUGUUGACACAAGCAAUCAAAAUGGACCUGGAGAAGGGGAUUAUAUGGGCUGACAUUGUCUACUUUGAUCUAUACGUGCCUUAUAUUGGUAGAUCUUUAAAGAAGUUACUUGGUAUAAAGUUUAUUUGAGUGCAUUAAAAUGAGUAAAUAAUAUUGAAAAAUGUUUUCAUCCAGGCUAUGCUUUUAUGGAGGCAAUUUUACAAUUACUUAAAGUGAAGUGAAAUUGUUUUGAAUCUGCCAGACUGUAAGUUUCCUAAGGGUGGAAUCUAUGCAGGUUUUAUUUUGAGUAUUCUCGCCUUCUCAACGCCUGGUAAAACUGAGUUCAUAAAUGGUCAAUAGCUGCUUAUCUAGCAGUUAUCUGGCAGCUUCUUGCAUGUUUUCUUCAAAAGGACUCCAAAUCUACUACUUUCCAUAGACUUUCACUUUUUUUCUCCCAUUCUUCCAGACUUUUUUUUCAACAUGUUGUCAUCAGAAUUUUACACACCACAGCAUUGCCCAUCAAACAGACCUAUUACUCAUAAAUGCUGAUGUUAUUUCUACGUGAUAACGUAGAGUUGUCCUCCUUGAUUUUGGUACAAUUUUAUGGAAAGCAGGUGGUCUGCCCAUCAUUUUAUUUUGCUUUUUGGAGGAAAACUUGAUAUUUGGCACUAGGUAUGACUGUACAAAAUCUUCCUCACUAAUGUGAUUACACCGUGAGUCAAAUGAAGACUUGAAGGGGGAAAAAGAAUUUUGAAAAUGAGGUCCUUUAGCAAGACUAUUUGGACAGUAGCUAUCUUUCCCCUCUGUAGCUAUGAAAUUAAGUGGGAGAGGAGGUGGUAAAAAAGAACCAGAAAUUAGAAAGUUUUCAGGCAAGCGUGUGCAAAUUAGAACUGCAGUAGAAUGUGUUGAUUUCUAAUUUGAGGCAAUUUCCCUAGAGACAACAGAGGCGUUUUGAAAAGACCAUAGGAUUUAUCAUCAGAAGCCAUGCAUUCAUUUUCUGCUACUGCUGCAUACUAGUGGUUUUGCCUUCAACAGUCAUUUGACCUUGAACAGCCCCUUGGCCUGUCAGAAACACAAUGUCCGUGUGUGUAAGAUGAAAACAACAAUAUUUGCAUCCCACAGGGAUGAUGAAGAUGCUAUGGGUGGGGGCUUUAUGAACAAUCAACCAAGAUUUAAAUACCUUUUCCAGGAUUCAUCUCUAUGUUUCUUUUUCUUGCCUCUCCCAUUUUCUAAAAUCUUCAAGACAAUGUUAUUAUUUCUUCACACACAUCCUCCAUUUCGAACUUCUGCCCACUCCUGUUGUUUAUCUUUUCAUUCGUUUUUAUUCAAGUGGCUGCUAAGGGCUACUCUGCAAGGUGCGUGAACACACUCUCCUCAGGCUAUCCCCAAAUCAGGACAAGUCAGCUCAGAUGAGGCUCACUUUUGCUGAACUUCAGAUGCUUUUAUCAUUUUCCUUACAAUUCUCUCCUAUUUUUUGAAGUUUAGAGGAAGAAAACUGCCUGGAUGCUAAGUGUUGAAGGAAUCAGACAGAGCUUAUUACAAACAAUCUGGGUUUCUAAGUAAAAAGCAACAUGAAAUCCUUUUACCCACAUUCAGAUAGGUCUCUUGUGUUUCUUGAAGAGCAGUCGUGGGACUAGCUAACAACCUGGGGUAUCAGUGGAAAAUACUUUCCUUCAUCUGACACGAACAUGCAGGAAAAGUCUUAAUGGGACAUUGCAGUUGUUUUGCAAAAAAAUGAAAGAAAAAUCAUUCUAUGGGCUUGCUCCUCUUGACAUGGUAGCGCUCAACUCCCAAUAUAUAUCUAUGUAUCUUAUUCAGGAUAAUAAAUGAACAUUAAAAUAUUGUUUGUGUUUAAGGUCUCAGUAAGCGAUAACUACUCACAACCUGGUUGGGGUUUAUAGGAGUUCAUAAAAUAUGCCAAGAACGUCUAAGCUUUCAUUCCCUUGUAUUGAAUCUAUAGUAAGGGAAGUAUAAUAAAUGAAAAUUAGGGCCAGGCACAUUGGCUCACACCUGUAAUCCCAGCACUUUGGGAGGCCGAGGUGGGCAGAUCACUUGAGAUCAGGAGUUUGAGACAAUCCUGGCCAACAUGGUGAAACCCCAUCUCCACUAAAAAUAACAAAAACUAGCUGGGAGUGGUGGCGGGCACCUGUAGUCCCAGCUACUUGGGAGGCUGAGGCAGGAGAAUCACUUGAACCCAGGAGGCGGAGAUUGCAGUGAGCAUUGAUCGUGCCACUGCACUCCAGCCUCAGUGACAGAGCAAGAUUCUGUCUCAACAGCAACAACAACAACAACAACAACAACAACAACAACAACAAAAGAAAAAGAAAUAGAAAAUUAGGAUUUCACAAAAACAAAUUUUAAGAGGAAGAUUACAAGAUUACUCGCUAAGUUAGUGAUGCCAAAAAAGGUAACUCCAUUUUGAAUCAAUUAUGGCUUAUUUAAAAUAUCUCAUUUUUAAGGUGGAGACAUCCAUUUACACACUUACAUUGAAUGAAUAAAGACUGUCUAUUUCAUUUACUAAGUUUAUGGAUUACAUCUAAUUUAUUUAUAUUGUUACUUAAUAGUUUUUGGAUGUGUACAAUUCUGAAGAAAUAAACUAAAAUAUGCCAGUAUAAUCAUGUGUUUUAAAUAAAGUUUCCUUACAUUUCUAAUAGUUUUUGUCUUAUAGUUUUAGUUGCUAUAUUGUUGAGCACAUGUGCAUUUCAAAUAAUUUUAACUUCAUCAUUUCUAUCCCAUGGUGUUCUAGUAAAUGGUUAGCAAUUGGCUCUAGAGGAGGGGAGGAAGAAAGCCCUGAUUUGUAUCAUUUCCAAUUUCUACGGUGUAAAUAAUCACACUGUGGCCAAUUUCAAUAUGAUGUUAUUGAACAUGGAGUUAGGAAGAUAUGUUAACCAUAGGCUCUUACAAGCUGGUACCAGCUAACGCCCUAACACCACUGAUUUUACCUUUUUUUGGUGUUUAAACUUGACAUUUCCCCUUGUCUAAUCUUAAUAUUGUUACUGCUGAAUUGUUUUGGUUUGGAUUUGCCCUAUGUCUUUGCAUAUUUCUUUAUUCCCAAUCGUUAUAAAUAAAUUUUAAAUGUUUCCC
rnacentral:lncRNA from 1 species